rnacentral:rRNA from 1 species
UAGGGAAUCUUCGGCAAUGGACGGAAGUCUGACCGAGCAACGCCGCGUGAGUGAAGAAGGUUUUCGGAUCGUAAAGCUCUGUUGUUAGAGAAGAACGUUGGUAGGAGUGGAAAAUCUACCAAGUGACGGUAACUAACCAGAAAGGGACGGCUAACUACGUGCCAGCAGCCGCGGUAAUACGUAGGUCCCGAGCGUUGUCCGGAUUUAUUGGGCGUAAAGCGAGCGCAGGCGGUUCUUUAAGUCUGAAGUUAAAGGCAGUGGCUUAACCAUUGUACGGUUUGGAAACUGGAGUACUUGAGUGCAGAAGGGGAGAGUGGAAUUCCAUGUGUAGCGGUGAAAUGCGUAGAUAUAUGGAGGAACACCGGUGGCGAAAGCGGCUCUCUGGUCUGUAACUGACGCUGAGGCUCGAAAGCGUGGGGAGCAAACAGG